rnacentral:rRNA from 1 species
UCCGUAGGUGAACCUGCGGAAGGAUCAUUACAGAAAGUAAACGCGGAUCGAACCGCGAACUUCUAAACCUUUGACGAUUGACUCAUGUUGCCUCGGCGGGUUCUCCCGCCAGAGGAUACAUCAAAACUCCUGUUUUAACGGUGUUGUCUGAGCUACAAGCAACGAAUCAAAACUUUCAACAACGGAUCUCUUGGUUCUGGCAUCGAUGAAGAACGCAGCGAAAUGCGAUAAGUAGUGUGAAUUGCAGAAUUCAGUGAAUCAUCGAAUCUUUGAACGCACAUUGCGCCCCUUGGUAUCCCGAGGGGCAUGCCUGUUCGAGCGUCAUUUCACCACUCAAGCCUGGCUUGGUGUUGGGCGACGUCCCCUUUGGGGACGCGCCUCGAAACGCUCGGCGGCGUGGCACCGGCUUUAAGCGUAGCAGAAUCUUUCGCUUUAAAAGUCGGGGCCCCGUCUGCCGGAAGACCUACUCGCAAGGUUGACCUCGGAUCAGGCAGGGAUACCCGCUGAACUUAAGCAUAUCAAUAAGCGGAGGAAAAGAAACCAACCAA